rfam:Bacillus sp. B-jedd genome assembly, contig: CONTIG000001
AAUCGGCGGUUCAUCAAGGGUGGUUAAAAGCACUCCCAGUGAAAGGGGGUGAUGCUUAAUGACGGUUUUUCAAGGAUUAAUGCUGGCCAUUUCGUUCGCUAGCCUGAUUGUUGCUGUACUGUCUGUAAACCAAAAAAAAUAACCCACCCUUGAGCCGGCAAGCAGAAGAGGCGGGUUAUUGCUUUAUUCCCAAUUAGCAUUUCCGGGAACCGUCGAUCAAGGUCCGGGCAUGCUCCAACAUGGCCGG